GUUGUAUGGUUAAGUGACUAAGCGUACACGGUGGAUGCCUUGGCAGUCAGAGGCGAUGAAGGACGUACUAACUUGCGAUAAGCGAUGAUGAGGCAGUAAGAGCCAUUUGAGUCAUCGAUUUCCGAAUGGGGAAACCCAGCAGCAUAAGCUGUUAUCUUGCACUGAAUACAUAGGUGUAAGAGGCGAACCAGGGGAACUGAAACAUCUAAGUACCCUGAGGAAAAGAAAUCAAUUGAGAUUCCCUAAGUAGCGGCGAGCGAACGGGGAUUAGCCCUUAAGCUUCGGGGGUGUUAGUGGAACGGUCUGGAAAGUCCGGCGAUACAGGGUGAUAGCCCCGUACACGAAAACUAACCUGAAGUGAAAUCGAGUAGGACGGGACACGUGAUAUCUUGUCUGAACAUGGGGGGACCAUCCUCCAAGGCUAAAUACUCCUGACUGACCGAUAGUGAACCAGUACCGUGAGGGAAAGGCGAAAAGAACCCCUGUGAGGGGAGUGAAAUAGAACCUGAAACCGUGUACGUACAAGCAGUGGGAGCCCUUCGGGGUGACUGCGUACCUUUUGUAUAAUGGGUCAGCGACUUACAUUUUGUAGCGAGGUUAACCGUAUAGGGGAGCCGUAGGGAAACCGAGUCUUAACUGGGCGAAUGAGUUGCAAGGUGUAGACCCGAAACCCGGUGAUCUACCCAUGAGCAGGUUGAAGGUUGGGUAACACCAACUGGAGGACCGAACCCACUAAUGUUGCAAAAUUAGGGGAUGACUUGUGGGUAGGGGUGAAAGGCCAAUCAAACCGGGAGAUAGCUGGUUCUCCUCGAAAGCUAUUUAGGUAGCGCCUCGUAUCUCACCAUUGGGGGUAGAGCACUGUUAAGGCUAGGGGGUCAUCCCGACUUACCAACCCUUUGCAAACUCCGAAUACCAAUGAGUGCAAUUACGGGAGACACACGGCGGGUGCUAACGUCCGUCGUGGAGAGGGAAACAACCCAGACCGCCAGCUAAGGUCCCAAAGUUCUAGUUAAGUGGGAAACGAUGUGGAAAGGCUCAGACAGCCAGGAUGUUGGCUUAGAAGCAGCCAUCAUUUAAAGAAAGCGUAAUAGCUCACUGGUCGAGUCGGUCUGCGCGGAAGAUGUAACGGGGCUAAACUAGACACCGAAGCUGCGGAUGCAUAUUUAUAUGCAUGGUAGAGGAGCGUUCUGUAAGCGGUUGAAGGUGUGUCGAGAGGCAUGCUGGACGUAUCAGAAGUGCGAAUGCUGACAUGAGUAACGUUAAAGCGGGUGAAAAACCCGCUCGCCGGAAGACCA
rnacentral:rRNA from 1 species